GCAACCCGCUGGCGUCCCCUUCCACACCGUGGAAGGUUUGUUCUUUCGCUCUUUUCAAUAAAUCUUGCUACCGCUCACUCUUUGGGUCCAGACUGCCUUUAUGAACUGUAACACUCACCUCCAAGGUCUGCAGCUUCACUCCUGAAGCCAGUGAGACCACGAGCCCACCAGGAGGAACGAACAACUCCAGACGCGCCGCCUUAAGAGCUGUAACACUCACUGCUAAGGUCUACAGCUUCAUUCCUGAGCCAGCGAGACCACGAACCCACCAGAAGGAAGAAACUCUGAACACAUCCAAACAUCAGAAGGAAUAAACUCCGGACAUGCCGCCUUUAAGAACUGUAACACUCACCGUGUUAAGAACUGUAACACUCACCGUGAGGGUCUGCGGCAUCAUUCUUGAAGUCAGUGAGACCAAGAACCCAUCAAUUCCAGACGCAAUAUGAUGCACUUAAUAAGCCUUUCACACCAAUUUGAUACGGUUUGGAUUUGUGUCCCUGCUGGAAUGUAAAGUUGAACUGUAAUCCCGGAUGCUGGAUGAGGGACCUGCUGGGAGGUGAUUGCAUCAUGGGGGCAUAUUUCCCCCUUGCUGUUCUCAUGAUGACACAAAUGAACAGCAGAACUCUUGCUCCCAUGAAUUGGCAAGUAUAGUCAGAAGUCUCCCCACUGUGGAUGGGAGACAGAAAAGAAAGAAAGAGCCUGAAUUACUGAGGGGGUGAGUAAAUAGCCACAUUAGUCCAGGACUCCUAUCUCUCCAAUUAUUAUAUAGGACAAAUAAGUUGGUAUUUCUUCAUGACACUCUUUGCCUAGGUUUUCUGUUAUAUACAGACAAAUUCAUCCUUUAAAAAUAGAGAUAUAACAUGGAUAUAUUGUUCUAAAUGGAACUGGAAAUGUUGUGGAAUACUAUGGCGUUACGAUUUUCAUAUAACUAAUAACAUAAUAGAAUUUAAAAAAUGCCCUCUCCCACAGGUGGUCAUUUAAAAAACUUGUAUUAGUUUUUAGAGGUUCAUUAAAAUGAAUUAUUGGCAA
ensembl:lncRNA novel transcript